rnacentral:lncRNA from 1 species
GGACAGUGGAUGAACCACAGUGAGAACGGCAUGAGGCGGGAAUGCCCGCGGAGGCGCAGGUGCUCACGCACCGCAGACACCUCCCUAUGGCCUUUGAGUCCCUCUCAGCUAAGUAAACGAUGCUGGAGAGUGCUCUUCCCAGGAAGGGUGCCACGAGGUCUCUGCACAGCGUCGCUGCCAUAGAGGGCCCAACUCCGGACAAAGGGAAUGGAACAGGAAGAGGAAUUCUGACGGGGUCUUUCGCCUGCUGGGGCUGCUGCCCCACCGUGCAGUGCCACGCCCGGGAGGCUCAGCCCGCAGAGAACUGCUUCUCACGCCAUGGGGCUGCGAGCCAGCGUCAGGGGCCGGCCGGGCUGCUCUCGGCUUGCAGGCGGCCUCUUCCUCGCCGCGUCCUCACAGGGCCUGUCGGUGUGUGUGUCCGCGCGCGCUCAGGCCACCAAUCCUUUCGAAUGAGGACCCCACCCUAAGACCUCGUUACUUCCUAAAAUCCCGACCUCCAAAUGCAGUCACUCGGGGCGUUAGGGCUUCAACAUAUGAAUUUGUUGCGGCUCAGUCCACAGAACCCCUCAAAGAACGGGAAGGGGAACCCUGCUCAGCCCAACGCGAUCUUGUCCCUGCCGCAUCCUCCGAGGGGAGCAUUGAAGCGAUUCAAUGUCUCUGCUGGAAUGUUCUCUCUCUGGAAGGGCCUCCAGGAGCCCCCCACUCCAGGGGGCUCACUGAAAUUCUCCAGCAAGAUAGCCUGUUUAUUUUCUUCUUGGUGCUUAUGAAACUCUUUGAUGUUUGUUCACGUGGAAUUUUUCUGACUCUUCUCUGGAAAAUCAGCUCCACAAGGGUGAGAGCCUCCUCUGUUCUGUUCAAGUGCUGUCUCCUUGCAUAUGUUAAUAUUAAAUAACAUUAAGACAGCCACAUGUGGACAGCAGGAACCUAUGGGAUAGAUCAGAUAUAAAAUGUUUCUAUCACGGCAGAAAGUUCUAUUGGGCAGCGCUGAUUUGCCUCAGAUUCUUGAAUGAAGCAAUGACUCAACAAGUGACCCCAGCGUCCCUACAACUCAUGCUCACCUGCUGGGUUGAGAUUAGGCUCUGGGCUGCGGACCCCAGGAGGUUUUCUAGGGCUAAAUUUAACCAAGUUCGAAAAUGACACACUGCUCUUCACAGCAAAUGGAGAACUGAAUAUAUUGCCUUAUGUUUAAGGUGGCUCUGGACAGGAUUGAUUCCCAUGUCACAAUGAGAGGCGAAGCCAGCUGGACUUCCUGGGUAAUGUGGGGACUUGGAGAACUUUUCUGUCUUACAAGUGGUUUGUAAAAUGCACCGAUCAGGCCAGGCAUGGUGGCUCAUGCCUGUAAUCCCAACACUUUGGGAGGCUGAGGCGGGUGGAUCACGAGGUCAGGAGAUCGAGACCAUCCUGGCUAACAUGGUGAAACCCUGUCUCACUAAAAAUACAAAAAAUUAGCCGGGCUUGGUGACGGGCGCCUGUAGUCCCAGCUACUCGGGAGGCUGAGGCAGGAGAAUGGCGUGAACCUGGGAGGCGGAGCUUGCAGUGAGCAGAGAUGACACCACUGCACUCCAGCCUGGGUGACACAGCAAGGCUGUCUC